rnacentral:rRNA from 1 species
UACGUAGGGGCCGAGCGUUGUCCGGAGUUAUUGGGCGUAAAGCGCGCGCAGGCGGCCUCGCGCGCCCGACGUGAAAGCCCCCGGCUUAACCGGGGAGGGUCGUUGGGGACGGCGGGGCUUGAGGGCGGGAGAGGGUGGUGGAAUUCCAGGUGUAGCGGUGAAAUGCGUAGAUAUCUGGAGGAACACCGGUGGCGAAGGCGGCAUCCUGGACCGGUAUUGACGCUGAGGAGCGAAAGCGUGGGGAGCGAACAGG